GACCGCGUAGCUCAGUUGGCAGAGCAUUGGGCUAGUAUUCCAAAGGUCGUAGGUUCGAUUCCCACCGUCGACA